UACAGAGGUCUCAAGCGUUGUUCGGAUUCAUUGGGCGUAAAGGGUGCGUAGGCGGCGCGGUAAGUCGGGUGUGAAAUCUCGGAGCUUAACUCCGAAACUGCAUUCGAUACUGCUCUGCUUGAGGACUGGAGAGGAGACUGGAAUUCACGGUGUAGCAGUGAAAUGCGUAGAUAUCGUGAGGAAGACCAGUGGCGAAGGCGGGUCUCUGGACAGUUCCUGACGCUGAGGCGCGAAGGCCAGGGGAGCAAACGGG
rnacentral:rRNA from 1 species